rfam:Paenisporosarcina sp. HGH0030 genomic scaffold acAqH-supercont1.4, whole genome shotgun sequence.
UUCUUAUCAAGAGCAGGUGGAGGGACUAGCCCUAUGAAACCCGGCAACCGACUUACGCGAGUAGGCACGGUGCUAAUUCUUGCAGCAGUAGCUGACAGAUAAGAG